GAUGGAUGCUAGCUACAGGCUUAACACAUGCAAGUCGAGGGGAAACGAUAGAGAAAGCUUGCUUUUUCUGGGCGUCGACCGGCGCACGGGUGAGUAACGCGUAUCCAACCUGCCCACCACUUGGGGAUAACCUUGCGAAAGUAAGACUAAUACCCAAUGAUAUCUCAAGAAGACAUCUGAAUGAGAUUAAAGAUUUAUCGGUGAUGGAUGGGGAUGCGUCUGAUUAGCUCGUUGGCGGGGUAACGUCCCACCAAGGCGACGAUCAGUAGGGGUUCUGAGAGGAAGGUCCCCCACAUUGGAACUGAGACACGGUCCAAACUCCUACGGGAGGCAGCAGUGAGGAAUAUUGGUCAAUGGGCGAGAGCCUGAACCAGCCAAGUAGCGUGCAGGAUGACGGCCCUAUGGGUUGUAAACUGCUUUUAUAAGGGAAUAAAGUGAGCCUCGUGAGGCUUUUUGCAUGUACCUUAUGAAUAAGGACCGGCUAAUUCCGUGCCAGCCGCCGCCGUAA
rnacentral:rRNA from 1 species